AGAGGAAGUAACAGAGAUUCAUUCAAGAGAGAAAUAUUGCUGCUUUGGGGCGCUGCUGCUGUUUGUUCAGUACUGCUACAUGUUACUGAUGUGUGCUGGAUGUUAAGAUUAGAGACUGUGAGACUGGCUGAUUUAUGUUGUGACUUGACUGAAUUAGUUUUUGCACAUGUCAGGUGAGCUGCUGUUCAUUUCUCCUUUCUUUUUGUUCACACUGCAGUUGCUCUUUUGAUUUGUUGAUUCUACAUAUUUCAGCUGUAAAGAAAUCCAGAGAGAGUUGUUGCUCAAGAAAAUCAGAGAAUAAUUGUGCUCAGUUCACAUGUGUGGCAGGAUGAAGAUUUCUUUUUUGGAACAAAUUGCCAAAUGCUAAGAUCAAGAUUUCUUGGGGAAGUUGUUGUCGAGAACUCAAUUGAUGUGUUCCUUUUUUUCAAGAAACUUGAUAUAGACAUAAUUAUUGG
rnacentral:lncRNA from 1 species